rnacentral:lncRNA from 1 species
GCAGUUUCUUGUAGUGUCGAUCCCACCCAAAUUAUGCACCAUUCUCCUCAAGCUCUCCUUGGAAGCCAUGGAAAUUAACCUUUGUUGACCCCCUGCUGCAUGAUACGAAAUUGCCGACUCCUCUUCUCAAGGUAAAAUUUUAAUGGUAACUGAACUAGGAGCCAAAGCAACAACCUCCAGAGGUGAAACUAUGAGUCAGAGAGAAAGUUGAGGAGGAGGGAGGGAAAUCAGAGAUGAAAAAGAGAGAGAAGCGAGAUAAAAAUGGCUGAAAAUCGAAAAAGAAGAAAAAGAAGAGAAGGAGACAGAAGAAAGAGAAAAUAACCGGGAAAUCCGACGAAAGACAAAAUGGCACGUAAAAACCCAAUAUCAUCAUGGGUAUAAACGUCUAAAACAAAUAAUUUUUAGCCCAAUUUGAAACUUCAUCAUUUUUAUGAACUUUGGAUUUCUCUAUUUUGGGAUAUCUAUAUCACUCAAUAGCUAGCUAUUCGAGGUCUUAAAUACGGAACUAUCUCAAAUAGCUAGCUAUUGAGUGCUAUAUAUAUCAAUAGCACCCAUACCAAACGACCCGCUAAAGAUUUUAUCUACCUCCUAUCUAGUUGAUUUAUUUCAUUAAGUCAAACAAAAUAAUGUAUGAGAUCUUGAUCCUAUAAACCUUCUAUCACUACAUAAUUAGGAUCCAACCAUGUCAUAUCAUCACAGUCUUAAUCAUAAUACUAAAUAUUAAUACAUUGUUAUUUAUCAUGAAAUUAUUUCUAUUCGACUUUUGCUUAUAAGGGUAAUUUAGGGAUUUUCUAAUUGAAAUUUUAUCAGAAAAAUCAGGGUGUAACACUACCUUUCGCUUCGUAGGAGUUAUAUCCAUGGAAGAGGAAAUAGCCGCGAGGGUCGAAGGUGCUGGACUCAUCAUCCUCACAGUUUUCGUCGUUUACUUGGAAGGAAAUG